rnacentral:lncRNA from 10 species
CAGGAAGUAGUGCCAGUGACUCAGCAGGUGGAACAACUUCAAGGCAGUACUACCAAAUGCCCUGACAAGAUGCCAGGCAAACAUCUUACUACAGUCCAUUCAUUUUUUAGGUGGUAUAUAAACUGGGCUAAGGUACACUCAGAUUUUAGAUGAGCCAAAACAUGAGCAGGAAAAGCAGAAAAAGAGAAGAUCAGAGUGAAGUGGUGAAAGGGAAAGGUAAAAAAGUGGAAGACAAAGAGGAUGAGUAUCUGUUGUGGUCCUUCAGGGAAAAGGGCUACUGAUCACAUGACCAACCUCUACCUUCUAAGAGAUGUACAUGGAACCAUGGAGGAGUUGCUCCCAAAACCUGCGAGAGACAGAUCUAUGUGGUGCAAAAAGGUGGACGGUGGCAGAUCUAGAAAUGUGCUGCUUAGAAUUUCUUCAAAAGAACUCACUACAGGAAGCCCAGUUGACUGGCAGUCCUAGAUGCCACCCCUCUGGAUUCACCACUACAUUAGCUGCAAGGCCCCAGGGCUGCUCCCUGCCUUGGACAGCACAGUGAUGAUAUGAGUGCAAGCACAACACAAACUCCUCUGGCUGGCAACUUUGGCCUAAGGACUCCCCAUCAGCCUGGCCCAACCUUCUGUAGGACUGCACCAACAGUCUGAGAUUCCUCUUACCCAAUCCUCCUUCCUUCCAUCUCUUACCACAGGUGUUAGGUUUAUGGAAGUCUGAAGGCUCUU